rnacentral:rRNA from 1 species
UCGGUAUCUAUAGCAUAAUGGAACAACGCCAUCCCAUUCCGAACAUGGCUGUUAAACUUUAUUGCGGCGACAAUACUUAAGGAGUUGUCCUUCGGGAAGAUAGCACGACGCCGAAAU